rnacentral:rRNA from 1 species
AAUUUUCGGCAAUGGGCGGAAGCCUGACCGAGCAACGCCGCGUGAACGAAGACGGUCUUUGGAUUGUAAAGUUCUGUUACGAGGGAAGAACGGCAGUGAUAGGGAAUGAUCACUGAGUGACGGUACCUCGCCAGAAAGCCACGUCUAACUACGUCCCAGCAGCCGCGGUAAUACGUAGGUGGCAAGCGUUAUCCGGAAUCAUUGGGCGUAAAGGGUGCGUAGGCGGCUUAUUAAGUCUGUAGUGAAAUCGUAGAGCUCAACUCUAUCAAGCUACGGAAACUGGUAAGCUAGAGUGCGGUAGAGGCUAGUGGAAUUCCAUGUGUAGCGGUAAAAUGCGUAGAUAUAUGGAGGAACACCGGUGGCGAAGGCGGCUAGCUGGGCCGUAACUGACGCUGAGGCACGAAAGCGUGGGGAGCAAAUAGG